CAGCAGCCGCGGUAAUACGUAGGUGGCAAGCGUUGUCCGGAAUUAUUGGGCGUAAAGGGCUCGCAGGCGGUUUCUUAAGUCUGAUGUGAAAGCCCCCGGCUCAACCGGGGAGGGUCAUUGGAAACUGGGAAACUCGAGUGCAGAAGAGGAGAGUGGAAUUCCACGUGUAGCGGUGAAAUGCGUAGAGAUGUGGAGGAACACCAGUGGCGAAGGCGACUCUCUGGUCUGUAACUGACGCUGAGGAGCGAAAGCGUGGGGAGCGAACAGGAUUAGAUACCCCCGUAGUCCCUGUCUCUUAUAC
rnacentral:rRNA from 1 species